rnacentral:rRNA from 1 species
GAGUUUGAUCAUGGCUCAGAUUGAACGCUGGCGGCAUGCCUUACACAUGCAAGUCGAACGGCAGCAUGAUCUAGCUUGCUAGAUUGAUGGCGAGUGGCGAACGGGUGAGUAAUACAUCGGAACGUGCCCUGUAGUGGGGGAUAGCUAGUCGAAAGAUUAGCUAAUACCGCAUACGACCUGAGGGUGAAAGUGGGGGACCGCAAGGCCUCAUGCUAUAGGAGCGGCCGAUGUCUGAUUAGCUAGUUGGUGGGGUAAAGGCCCACCAAGGCGACGAUCAGUAGCUGGUCUGAGAGGACGAUCAGCCACACUGGGACUGAGACACGGCCCAGACUCCUACGGGAGGCAGCAGUGGGGAAUUUUGGACAAUGGCGAAAGCCUGAUCCAGCAAUGCCGCGUGUGUGAGAAGG